rnacentral:sRNA from 1 species
CCCACAGAGAUGCCAUUUGUGGGCAGCUCCAGUGCCAGACAGGUAGGACCCAGCCUCUGCUGGGCUCCAUCCAGGAUCUACUCUGGGAGACAAUAGAUGUGAAUGGGACUGAGCUGAACUGCAGCUGGGUGCACCUGGACCUGGGCAGUGAUGUGGCCCAGCCCCUCCUGACUCUGCCUGGCACAGCCUGUGGCCCUGGCCUGGUGUGUAUAGACCAUCGAUGCCAGCGUGUGGAUCUCCUGGGGGCACAGGAAUGUCGAAGCAAAUGCCAUGGACAUGGGGUCUGUGACAGCAACAGGCACUGCUACUGUGAGGAGGGCUGGGCACCCCCUGACUGCACCACUCAGCUCAAAGCAACCAGCUCCCUGACCACAGGGCUGCUCCUCAGCCUCCUGGUCUUAUUGGUCCUGGUGAUGCUUGGUGCCAGCUACUGGUACCGUGCCCGCCUGCACCAGCGACUCUGCCAGCUCAAGGGACCCACCUGCCAGUACAGGGCAGCCCAAUCUGGUCCCCCUGAACGGCCAGGACCUCCGCAGAGGGCCCUGCUGGCACAAGGCACUAAGGCUAGUGCUCUCAGCUUCCCGGCCCCCCCUUCCAGGCCGUUGCCGCCUGACCCUGUGUCCAAGAGACUCCAGUGGUGCUCUUCAUUAGGUGAUCGGGGUGCCCCUCAGCCUUCAGACACUCUGAGCCCCAGAAGCAGCAAAGGUCUCAGGGGCCAGCCAAGCCCCCACCCCCAAGGAAGCCAUUGCCUGCCGACCCCCAGGGCCGGUGCCCAUCGGGUGACCUGCCCGGCCCAGGGGCUGGAAUCCCGCCCCUAGUGGUACCCUCCAGACCAGCGCCACCGCCCCCGACAGUGUCCUCGCUCUACCUCUGACCUCUCCGGAGGUUCCGCUGCCUCCAAGCCGGACUUAGGGCUUCAAGAGGCGGGCGUGCCCUCUGGAGUCCCCUACCAUGACUGAAGGCGCCAGAGACUGGCGGUGUCUUAAGGCUCCGGGCACCGCCACGCGCUGUCAAGCAACACUCUGCGGACCUGCCGGCGUAGUUGCAGCGGGGGCUUGGGGAGGGGCUGGGGGUUGGACGGGAUUGAGGAAGGUCCGCACAGCCUGUCUCUGCUCAGCU